rnacentral:sRNA from 1 species
AUAAAGGACUGUGCGUACAACAAUUUAUGGGACUUUUAAGCGAAGUGGAAAGACAUUCCAAAGAGACAGAAAAAUAACCAGCAAAAUGAGACGUCAUAUCAACGAUAAGAUACAGAUCUAAGAAUGUAAUUGCACCUCCAACGCAUGACCAGAACUGUACAGUCCUCCAUCAAAACCAAUUGCUGUUUACUAGACCAGAAAAAAUGUGGAUAAAUUUAGACCAAAAGAAAUACCGUAACGACCAAAAUGUAGAACAUUAUAGAUUUUAAAUAUGAUGGAAAAAGUCCACGGCCUUUAAGACAAACGUUAACUAAGCUUGUGGGUGACUUUUAGUGCCAGUUAACAAGACGAUAACAAUUAGGAUAAUUCCUGUACAUUCCUGACGACGCCUUGUGCCGUUAUACACGUAAGGUAUCGUCUGACAGAAUCACAGCUUUAAAAGACUUGAUAAAUGUAACUGCAGACGAUCAUCAGGGCCGCAUAAAUCAUUUGAUUGUGACGUCAGUUUUCAAGGUUCGUAAGAGCUACGUGUUCUACCUUGAUAUAAAAUGAAUAUCCUUUGGGCCAAAGAACUGCAUAUGUUGUCCAUUAGGGUUAAUUACGUUGAAUAAUUUAUUUUGAUUCAGACCUUUUUUCCUUUUUGUUAGAUUACCUAGUAUCUGUAGAACGCCAAAGGAGAACGCAAUUCAUUUUCAAUUUUCUAAUUCGGAGAGAAAGCAUUAAUAUCACAUGUUUUCGUGACUGAGUAAAAUUCAAUUUAAGGAAUGGAAGGGGAUACUUCUCAACAAUUUUUAUCUCUAUAUAUCUGUGAUUGAUUUUUUUUUUACCACUAUAUUGAAUCGCAUGUAUGUAGAUCGCAAACCUCUUUUCACAAACUUUUAUUUCUAUGUUUAGCAAUACAAGAUCACAGAUUUUUGUAUUGAUAAAAUCAUUAUAACUCAUGAAUUCAGUAGAAUCUUUUACUGUUGUUGUAAGAUUUAUUUUUCAUCGCUCAAAUUUGCCGUGAUAAAAAAUCCUUUGUAACCCUG